CAGUAGUCAUAUGCUUGUCUCAAAGGUUAAGCCAUGCACGUCUUAGUACGAAUUUGUUAACAAAAUGAAACCGCGAACGGCUCAUUAGAUCAGUCUCGAUCCGUCGGACCGUGUCCGAACCCUCGGUUUGGAUAACUGUGGAAAUCCUAGAGCUAAUACAUGCAAUCGAGCCGCGAGCCCCGAGCGAUCGGGCGCGAACGGCGCAGUUAUUAGGAAUCAAGACCGACAGGUGCGCGGGACGGCCUUCGCCGGUCGCUCCCGCCCCUUCUCCCCUUGGUGACUCUGGGUAGCAGUGCGGAUCGCACGCCCUUCGAGGCGGCGACGGGUCCGGCGAGCGUCUGCCCUAUCAGGUGACGUAGGUAGGUGAUCGGCCUACCUAGCCUAUGACGGGUGACGGGGAAUCUGGGUUCGAUUCCGGAGAGCUAGCCUGAGAAACGGCUAUCACAUCCAAGGAAGGCAGCAGGCGCGCAAAUUACCCACUCCCGGCACGGGGAGGUAGUGACAAGGAAUAACAAUACGGGACUCUAUCGAGGCCCCGUAAUUGGAAUGAGAGCAUUCCAAAAACCUCAACGAGGAACCAUCGGAGGGCAAGUCUGGUGCCAGCAGCCGCGGUAAUUCCAGCUCCGAUAGCGUAUAUUAAAGUUGUUGCAGUUAAAAAGCUCGUAGUUGGAUCUCGGGAGCGGGCGUGGCGGUGCCGGCCGGCGUGCUUCGCGCAGCCGGCUUCCAGGCACUGCCCGUCGCCGCCUCCCUGCUCGCCGGUUGGGCCGGGGUGCCCUUCGCCGGGUGUCCCGGCUCCGGCCGGCGCUUUUACUUUGAGAAAAUUAGAGUGCUCAAGGCAGGCCCGUCAGCGGCCCCUGAAUAUCUACGCAUGGAAUAAUGGAAUAGGACCUCGGGUCCCGUUCUGUUGGCCUCUCGACCGCGAGGUAAUGAUUAAGAGGGACGGACGGGGGCAUCCGUAUCGCGGGGUUAGAGGUGAAAUUCUUGGAUCCUCGCGAGACGAACGACAGCGAAAGCAUUUGCCAAGAACGUUUUCAUUAAUCAAGAACGAAAGUCAGAGGUUCGAAGACGAUCAGAUACCGUCGUAGUUCUGACCAUAAACGAUGCCGACCGGCGUUCCGCCGCGCGUCGCUCACACAGAUGACCCGGCGGGCAGCCCCCGGGAAACCUCGAGUCUUCGGGUUCCGGGGGAAGUAUGGUUGCAAAGCUGAAACUUAAAGGAAUUGACGGAAGGGCACCACAAGGAGUGGAGUCUGCGGCUUAAUUCGACUCAACGCGCGAAAUCCUACCAGGUCAGUACUCCGCCAGGAUUGACAGAUCGAGAGCUCUUUCUUGAUUCGGUGGGUGGUGGUGCAUGGCCGUUCUUAGUUGGUGGAGCGAUCUGUCUGGUUAAUUCCGAUAACGAACGAGACUCUAGCCUGCUAACUAGUCCGGCGGGCGCCGUCCGUGCGCCCGCCGCAGUCGGCCGGGUCGCGGGCCGUCCUCUAACAGGGGCGCGUCCGUCCGGUCGCGGACUUCUUAGAGGGAUGUGUGGCGUUCAGCCACGCGAGAUUGAGCAAUAACAGGUCUGUGAUGCCCUUAGAUGUCCUGGGUCGCACGCGCGCUACACUGAAGGGAUCAGCUGGCGUCUACCCGGCCCGAGAGGGUCGGGCAACCCGGUGAACCCCCUUCGUGCUAGGGAUCGGGGCUUGCAAUUCUUCCCCGUGAACGAGGAAUUCCUAGUAGGCGCCAGUCACCAACUGGCGCCGAUUGCGUCCCUGCCCUUUGUACACACCGCCCGUCGCUACUACCGAUUGGAUGGUUUAGUGAGAGCCACGGAUUGGUCCCGGACCGGGGCGGUUCGCCGUCCCGUCCGUCGGCGCCGAGAAGUCGUUCGAACUUGAUCAUCUAGAGGAAGU
rnacentral:rRNA from 1 species